GACGAACUGUGCGAACGUUGUUCGGAAUCACUGGGCUUAAAGGGCGCGUAGGCGGUCUGCCAAGUCCGGGGUGAAAGCCCCCAGCUCAACUGGGGAAGUGCCUUGGAUACUGGCGGACUUGAGGGAGGCAGGGGUUGUGGGAACUUCCGGUGGAGCGGUGAAAUGCGUUGAUAUCGGAAGGAACGCCGGUGGCGAAAGCGCACAACUGGUCCUCUUCUGACGCUGAGGCGCGAAAGCCAGGGGAGCAAACGGG
rnacentral:rRNA from 1 species